AUUGGGUAGGGGAGCGUUCUGUAAGCCGUUGAAGGUGAAUCGUAAGGUUUGCUGGAGGUAUCAGAAGUGCGAAUGCUGACAUGAGUAACGACAAAGGGGGUGAAAAACCUCCUCGCCGGAAGACCAAGGGUUCCUGUCCAACGUUAAUCGGGGCAGGGUGAGUCGACCCCUAAGGUGAGGCCGAAAGGCGUAAUCGAUGGGAAACGGGUUAAUAUUCCCGUACUUCUGACUAUUGCGAUGGGGGGACGGAGAAGGCUAGGUGGGCCAGGCGACGGUUGUCCUGGUUCAAGUGCGUAGGCUUGAGAGUUAGGUAAAUCCGGCUCUCUCUAAGGCUGAGACACGACGUCGAGCUACUACGGUAGUGAAGUCAUUGAUGCCAUGCUUCCAGGAAAAGCCUCUAAGCUUCAGAUAGUCAGGAAUCGUACCCCAAACCGACACAGGUGGUCGGGUAGAGAAUACCAAGGCGCUUGAGAGAACUCGGGUGAAGGAACUAGGCAAAAUGGUACCGUAACUUCGGGAGAAGGUACGCUCUUGAUGGUGAAGUCCCUCGCGGAUGGAGCUGACGAGAGUCGCAGAUACCAGGUGGCUGCAACUGUUUAUUAAAAACACAGCACUGUGCAAAAUCGCAAGAUGACGUAUACGGUGUGACGCCUGCCCGGUGCCGGAAGGUUAAUUGAUGGGGUUAGCGCAAGCGAAGCUCUUGAUCGAAGCCCCGGUAAACGGCGGCCGUAACUAUAACGGUCCUAAGGUAGCGAAAUUCCUUGUCGGGUAAGUUCCGACCUGCACGAAUGGCGUAAUGAUGGCCACGCUGUCUCCACCCGAGACUCAGUGAAAUUGAAAUCGCUGUGAAGAUGCAGUGUACCCGCGGCUAGACGGAAAGACCCCGUGAACCUUUACUACAGCUUGGCACUGAACAUUGAACCUACAUGUGUAGGAUAGGUGGGAGGCUAUGAAGACGUGACGCCAGUUGCGUUGGAGCCGUCCUUGAAAUACCACCCUUGUAUGUUUGAUGUUCUAACUUAGACCCAUUAUCUGGGUUGAGGACAGUGCCUGGUGGGUAGUUUGACUGGGGCGGUCUCCUCCCAAAGAGUAACGGAGGAGCACGAAGGUGGGCUAAUCACGGUUGGACAUCGUGAGGUUAGUGCAAUGGCAUAAGCCCGCUUAACUGCGAGAAUGACGGUUCGAGCAGGUGCGAAAGCAGGUCAUAGUGAUCCGGUGGUUCUGUAUGGAAGGGCCAUCGCUCAACGGAUAAAAGGUACUCCGGGGAUAACAGGCUGAUACCGCCCAAGAGUUCAUAUCGACGGCGGUGUUUGGCACCUCGAUGUCGGCUCAUCACAUCCUGGGGCUGAAGUCGGUCCCAAGGGUAUGGCUGUUCGCCAUUUAAAGUGGUACGCGAGCUGGGUUUAGAACGUCGUGAGACAGUUCGGUCCCUAUCUGCCGUGGGCGUUGGAAGAUUGAAGGGGGCUGCUCCUAGUACGAGAGGACCGGAGUGGACGAACCUCUGGUGUUCGGGUUGUGUCGCCAGACGCAUUGCCCGGUAGCUAAGUUCGGAAUUGAUAAGCGCUGAAAGCAUCUAAGCGCGAAGCGAGCCCUGAGAUGAGUCUUCCCUGACAGUUUAACUGUCCUAAAGGGUUGUUCGAGACUAGAACGUUGAUAGGCAGGGUGUGUAAGCGUUGUGAGGCGUUGAGCUAACCUGUACUAAUUGCCCGUGAGGCUUAACCAU
rnacentral:rRNA from 2 species